rnacentral:lncRNA from 1 species
GCACAAAGUAACAUCCAAAUGACAGAGAAUAACAGAAUAUUGAUUGCGCUCCACAAGGAGGAGGCAGAAAACCACCCUGUGCAGAGGCAGUCAGGAGGCCACGCUCAGCUAACUGGCUGCUGCUUCUCUGUGUGGUCUCCAGGCUUCUCCGUGUGUUCUCUCCAGAAAAGGAAUGGUGGCUCCAUCAUCCCCCUCUGCAUCAAUCUCAUAGAAGGUUCAUGCCCCUGCACCAGCAGAUUCUCCUCUGAGCUGAGUACAGUGAUCAUCAGGGCUGAGAAGCGCUGAGAAGGGUGAUUGUGGGGCAGGGAACUCUGGUCACCCUGGUGGCCUCUGACUCUGGUCCUCACCCACCAUGCAGACACAGGAAAGUUGCUGGCCCUUCUAUAAAACAGGGAUGUUUUCAUCACUUAAUGAGCCAUAAGGACUGUGCCAACUCAAAUCUCUGCCUGGAAACGAUGGCCCUAGGGAAGGGCCCUUGUCACCAGACCUGAGGGACACUGCACAUGGGGGAGAGGGCUCUCACAGGACCACAUGGCGUCUUCUAGAAUGACAAGCUAGUGCUCCCUCAAAGGAAGACGGGAAGGGAUUCAUGGGCAUUCCCAUUCAG